rnacentral:piRNA from 2 species
UGGAAACUCUGCCUGGAUAAAUGCUCC